AGUGAACGCUGGCGGUAGGCCUAACACAUGCCAGUCGAACGGCAGCACAGUAAGAGCUUGCUCUUACGGGUGGCGAGUGGCGGACGGGUGAGGAAUACAUCGGAAUCUACUUUUUCGGGGGGGAUAACGUAGGGAAACUUACGCUCAUACCGCAUACGACGUACGGGUGAAAGCAGUGGAUCUUCGGACCUUGCGCGAUUGAAUGAGCCGAUGUCGGAUUAGCUAGUUGGCGGGGUAAAGGCCCACCAAGGCGACGAUCCGUAGCUGGUCUGAGAGGAUGAUCAGCCACACUGGAACUGAGACACGGUCCAGACUCCUACGGGAGGCAGCAGUGGGGAAUAUUGGACAAUGGGCGCAAGCCUGAUCCAGCCAUACCGCGUGGGUGAAGAAGGCCUUCGGGUUGUAAAGCCCUUUUGUUGGGAAAGAAAAGCAGCAGGUUAAUACCCCGCUGUUCUGACGGUACCCAAAGAAUAAGCACCGGCUAACUUCGUG
rnacentral:rRNA from 1 species